rnacentral:rRNA from 1 species
UCAGAGGGGGGUAGANUCCCACGUGUAGCAGUGAAAUGCGUAGAGAUGUGGAGGAAUACCGAUGGCGAAGGCAGCCCCCUGGGAUAAUACUGACGUUCAUGCUNGAAAGCGUGGGUAGCAAACAGGAUUAGAUACCCUGGUAGUCCACGCCCUAAACGAUGUCGAUUAGCUGUUGGGGCACUUGAUGCCUUAGUAGCGAAGCUAACGCGUGAAAUUGAGCGCCUGGGGAGUACGGUCGCAAGAUUAAAACUCAAAGGAAUUGACGGGGACCCGCACAAGGGGUGGAUGAUGUGGAUUAAUUCGAUGCAACGCGAAGAACCUUACCUGGUCUUGACAUGUACGGAAUCUUCCAGAGACGGAAGAGUGCCUUCGGGAGCCGUAACACAGGUGCAGCAUGGCUGUCGUCAGCUCGUGUCGUGAGAUGCUGGGUUAAGUCCCGCAACGAGCGCAACCCUUGUCAUUAGUUGCCACCAUUUAGUUGGGCACUCUAAUGAGACUGCCGGUGACAAACCGGAGGAAGGUGGGGAUGACGUCAAGUCCUCAUGGCCCUUAUGACCAGGGCUUCACACGUCAUACAAUGGUCGGUACAGAGGGUAGCCAAGCCGCGAGGUGGAGCCAAUCUCAGAAAACCGAUCGUAGUCCGGAUUGCACUCUGCAACUCGAGUGCAUGAAGUCGGAAUCGCUAGUAAUCGCAGGUCAGCAUACUGCGGUGAAUACGUUCCCGGGUCUUGUACACACCGCCCGUCACACCAUGGGAGUGGGGGAUACCAGAAGUAGGUAGGCUAACCGCAAGGAGGCCGCUUACC